ACGGAGAGUUUGAUCCUGGCUCAGGACGAACGCUGGCGGCGUGCUUAACACAUGCAAGUCGAACGGUGACCUCGGAGGCUUGCUCCGGGCGAUCAGUGGCGAACGGGUGAGUAACACGUGAGUAACCUGCCCCUGGCUCUGGGAUAACCUCGGGAAACCGAAGCCAAUACCGGAUACGACACAGACAGGCAUCUGUACUGUGUGGAAAGUUUUUCGGCUAGGGAUGGACUCGCGGCCUAUCAGGCUUGUUGGUGGGGUAAUGGCCUACCAAGGCGACGACGGGUAGCCGGCCUGAGAGGGCGACCGGCCACACUGGGACUGAGACACGGCCCAGACUCCUACGGGAGGCAGCAGUGGGGAAUAUUGCGCAAUGGGCGAAAGCCUGACGCAGCGACGCCGCGUGAGGGAUGAAGGCCUUCGGGUUGUAAACCUCUUUCAGCAGGGAAGAAGCGAAAGUGACGGUACCUGCAGAAGAAGCACCGGCUAACUACGUGCCAGCAGCCGCGGUAAUACGUAGGGUGCAAGCGUUGUCCGGAAUUAUUGGGCGUAAAGAGCUCGUAGGCGGUCUGUCGCGUCUGCUGUGAAAACCCAGGGCUUAACCCUGGGCCUGCAGUGGGUACGGGCAGACUAGAGUGCGGUAGGGGAGAUCGGAAUUCCUGGUGUAGCGGUGAAAUGCGCAGAUAUCAGGAGGAACACCGGUGGCGAAGGCGGAUCUCUGGGCCGUAACUGACGCUGAGGAGCGAAAGCAUGGGGAGCGAACAGGAUUAGAUACCCUGGUAGUCCAUGCCGUAAACGUUGGGCGCUAGGUGUGGGGCUCAUUCCACGAGUUCUGUGCCGCAGCAAACGCAUUAAGCGCCCCGCCUGGGGAGUACGGCCGCAAGGCUAAAACUCAAAGGAAUUGACGGGGGCCCGCACAAGCGGCGGAGCAUGCGGAUUAAUUCGAUGCAACGCGAAGAACCUUACCAAGGCUUGACAUACAGGGUAAUCCGGCAGAAACGUCGGGUCCGCAAGGGAUCCUGUACAGGUGGUGCAUGGUUGUCGUCACUCGUGUCGUGAGAUGUUGGGUUAAGUCCCGCAACGAGCGCAACCCUCGUUCUAUGUUGCCAGCGCGUAAUGGCGGGGACUCAUAGGAGACUGCCGGGGUCAACUCGGAGGAAGGUGGGGAUGAGGUCAAAUCAUCAUGCCCCUUAUGUCUUGGGCUUCACGCAUGCUACAAUGGCCGGUACAAAGGGCUGCGAAACCGCAAGGUGGAGCGAAUCCCAAAAACCGGUCUCAGUUCGGAUUGGGGUCUGCAACUCGACCCCAUGAAGUCGGAGUCGCUAGUAAUCGCAGAUCAGCAACGCUGCGGUGAAUACGUUCCCGGGCCUUGUACACACCGCCCGUCAAGUCACGAAAGUCGGUAACACCCGAAGCCGGUGGCCCAACCCUUGUGGAGGGAGCCGUCGAAGGUGGGACUGGCGAUUGGGACUAAGUCGUAACAAGGUAGCCGUACCGGAAGGUGCGGCUGGAUCACCUCCUUU
rnacentral:rRNA from 1 species